rnacentral:rRNA from 1 species
AUGGCGACCACCAAGAAGAGGGAGAUGGUGUUCUUCGACGUGGAGGCGGCGCAGUCCCCGUCGCCGCCCGGCGAGUGCCGCCUGCUGGAGUUCGCUGCCACCCUCGUCUGCCCGCGCCGCCUCGUCGAGGUCUCCAGCUACUCCACCCUCAUCCGUCCCGACGACGUCGCCAACGACGGCAGUGUCCACCUCCCCUCCUCGGCCCCCUCGUUCGAGGACGUCUUCCCGGACAUCUUCGAGCUGCUGGACGGCCGCGUGUGGGCGGGCCACGGCAUCCGGCGCUCGGGCUGCCUGCGGGUGCGCGAGGCCUUCGCCGCCUUCGGCCUGCCCGCGCCGGAGCCCGUGGGCGUCGUCGACUCGCUCGACGUGCUCCUCGCGCAGGGCAGCUUCGGGCGGGCCGUCGCCGGGGACGACGGUCAGGACGAUGAGGCGGCGUCGGCGGCCCUGGCGGAGCACUUCGGGAUCGGCGCGCGGCGGGCGCGGGGGCUCCGGUGCCUGGACGGCGCCCGCGUGAGCCUCGAGGUGCUCAAGCACUGCGCCGGCGUGCUGCUGCUCGAAUCCAGCCUCCGCGGCGACGUGCCCGCCGGCGCCAGCCGCAGGAGCACGCCCACGCCUAGCAGCAGCAACAACAACAACACGUUGGAGAAGGCGUUUGCCCGCGCGUCGGCCAAGACGACGACGCCGGCGAAGGCGGCCACCGCUCCUACUCCUCCGUCUCCUGCUGCUGCUUCUCCGGCGGCUGUUCAGAAGGUGAGUACGAGCACGGGGAAGAGGGACAGCACGGGGAAGGUGGUGGUGGUGGUGAAGAAGGGAGCGACAGCGGCAACUGUGACGACAACGACGGCUACCGGAGGUCGCCGGGUGCGGCCGCCGGCGCCGCCGUUCAGCAUGAUCCUCAGGCACUCGAGGGCCGUCAUCAGAUGA